CAGUGUUGCCCCUUUGCAGGAUUUAAGAGGAAAUGGAUGGAGAACCCAAGGUACCCAAGCUUUGGGAAAUUCUGGCCCAGGAUCUUAUUCAGCAGAUGAACUUGCAGUGUGCUGCAGCAGGUAAAGAUAUAGGGGAUGAUUCCCUGAAGCUAAAGAGAAACAAGGAACGUGGAAGUCAGUCAGCUACACAACCACAGUGUCACACAAAUUGGGCUAUCAGCUCCUCUCUGCUGGAGAUGGCGAAGGAGAAUGGGAGCUGUGGGAACAGAUCCAGGGGACAGAAGCCCACAGAGAUCUUCCCCAGAAGAUGAGUGGAGCAGAUCAGAGAUGGGAAUAAAGGAGCUGUCACCAACCACAGCCUUCUCCCUGCUCUGCACAGUGAAUGCACAGGACACAGAUCAGAAGGUGUUCCCCCCUGUGUCAGGAUCCUGCCUACCAAGAAAACCCACUGCUGGCCAUGCCCUGCCCACAGGGAGGGGAAAAGGAGGCUCCACACUGCCAGGCUAUGAUGCAGAAAUGUGAGAAGGAAAGCCAAACCUGUGUGAGGCAAAUAUAGUCUGUGGGAGUAACUCUGUAGGCCACUAAAUUUCAAAAAUGCCAUUCAAUAAAAUUUGUGAAGUA